UACGGAGGGUGCAAGCGUUGUCCGGAAUCACUGGGCGUAAAGGGCGCGUAGGCGGCUCAUGAAGGCUGUGGUGAAAGUCCGGGGCUCAACCUCGGAUCGGCCGUGGCGACUCGUGGGCUGGAGCACUGUAGAGGCGGGUGGAAUUCCGGGUGUAGCGGUGGAAUGCGUAGAGAUCCGGAAGAACACCAGUGGCGAAGGCGACUCGCUGGACAAGUAUUGACGCUGAGGUGCGAAAGCGUGGGGAGCAAACAGGG
rnacentral:rRNA from 1 species